UCCAAGACGGAAAACGGGGGAGAAAAGGAGAGAGAGAGAGCGUUCCCGGCCGACUCCGAGGGGCAACGUCAGAAAUGAAAGAAGGAAAGUCUGGCUGUCGUGGGGACGUUACUUUACCUCCCCCCUCCCAAUGUAUUUUCUUCAAACCAUACUCACGUUCGAAGAUGUCCCCCGCAGAUCCCGGGAUCCUUUUCUUUAGCCGGCUUUACCUCGCCUUUGCUCUCUCUGGUUGGGCUUCUGGUGACGGUUGAUUACCGCCCACAAAGAAGAGGCAGGGAGAGGAAGAAAAGGGAUCCCUGGGCUAAGGAUGCCCAGUGGCGCCCGAUCCCCUCUAUCUCCCCUCUCACCUUUGCAGGAGAACCAAGUGUCCCUGAGCACGGUCGCUAAAACUGUUACCGGAAAUCCGAGGGCUCUCUUGGACAAAAUAAAGACACCAACCAGAGCAAUUCAGAGCAAAACAGCAGCCAGUAGGCUCGGUCUUUAUU